GUGAAGUCAGUCUUACACUGAGCACACAUGUAGGGCUCGCGAGAUGAUACAGGAACUGAAACUUUACCUGCAGAAACACAACCAGGUGAUAAAGACCCUGCAAAGCGGCACUUUCAGAUUUCCAGUUGACUAUCUCAUUUCAGCAGCUCUUAUUCAAUCUGAAGACAGACACAAUGAGGGAAAAAAAGUCAAACAUCCAGAGUUCAUCGCUCAGCAGUGAAUUGCGCGAUGUGGGUACUUGUUGCAUUGGUUUUAAUUCCAUCUACUGAGGCACUCAGACGUCCAGGAGACGGACACCAAUAAAACAACCCAAACCAGCCAACAGAGAGGUGUUAAUAUCCAUCUGCAGCAUGAAGCACACUUAAACCUACACAGUGCCCUCCCAACACAAAACCCACCAAGUCAGCAUCACACAGGCUGUAAAAUAAAAUAGUUCAGUUGCCAUUGUUACAGGUGCUCAAUUCACUCAGCGCCUCGCGUGGGGUGUUUGCACGCCCCCUCUGCUCCUCUCCUGCCUGCCUCCACCUCUACCCUUCGGUGGCAGCGUGAACAGCACAUGCAGAAGGCAGCUCCUCUGACAAAAAAAAUAGAUUUUUUUGCUGGGUUUGUUUCCAACGAAAACAGUCCUCCCAGCACUUUGGAAAGCAAAUGUGUGAUACGAGGGGUGGGGAGGAAGGGAAGGGGGCCAGGGUGGGAGGGCUGAGCCUCUCCUUUUAGGCUGCCUGGGUUUCUUGACAUAACUACAGGCUGGCUGCACCCAGUAGGAGCUGGAAUCCAGAUCUGUGCCACACAGCAGAGCUCGGCCUUCGGUCACAGCUCCCAGCGGUGGAGAUGGAAAUGCUUCAACAGACGUGCUGACAGGUGAAGUUAUGUAUGAGAAUCUCCUCCAAAUGCACGCUCGUGCCAGCUAUCUCUACGCCGGACAGUGCUUAGUAAUUUGGAGUGCAUUCCGCUCAAAAAUGUCCGAGUUUACUAAAAAGAUGUUCAGCUUUUGCAUAUGGUUGAUAGGAAAACUGUCUAGUCUUUUGGUCUUGGCAACACCAAAAAAAGAAGGAAUGGUUAAUGGGAUACACUGCUACAAACUUCAGGAAGGUUUUAUGAGAAGUGAGACAUGCUUUAUUUGAGAACUCUCAUGUUCUACAGGUUAUGGCAGCUGCCACAGUUACUUAAUUUUUUCCUCCACUCUAGAAGACAAGACACGUAUCUGUAGGA